GGCGCUUCACAUCCAUCUAGAGGAGCCUGUUCUUACAACCGAUACCCCCCGUUAAACCUCACCUUCUCUUGUUUUUUCCGCCUAUAUACCGCCGUCGUCAGCCUACCCUGUGAGGGACUAGUAGUGUGCAAGAUUGGCACAGCCCAAAACGUCAGGCCGAGGUGUAGCGUAUGAGAAGGGAAGAAAUGGGCUACAAUUGCUCAAACAGCUAAAACGAAUUGCAACGCUGAAAUUUGCGAACAUGAAGGAGGAUUUAGAAGUAAGGGGUUAAACAGAGUGUCCCCCUGAAAUGGCUCUGAAGCGUGCACACACCGCCCGUCACUCUCCCCAAACUAUGUCGCUGCCUAGUAGUUAAACACUUAAGCCUUACAUAGGGGAGGCAAGUCGUAACAUGGUAAGCGUACCGGAAGGUGCGCUUGGUAAAACU
rnacentral:rRNA from 1 species